rnacentral:rRNA from 1 species
GAGUUUGAUCCUGGCUCAGGAUGAACGCUGGCGGCGUGCUUAACACAUGCAAGUCGAACGAGGCUUAUCUGUGGAAGUUUUCGGAUGGAAACGGAUAUGACCGAGUGGCGGACGGGUGAGUAACGCGUGGGGAACCUGCCCCAUUCCGGGGGAUACCAGUUGGAAACGGCUGUUAAUACCGCAUAAGCGCACAGCACCGCAUGGUGGAGUGUGAAAAACUGAGGUGGAAUGGGAUGGCCCCGCGUCUGAUUAGCCAGUUGGCAGGGUAACGGCCUACCAAAGCGACGAUCAGUAGCCGGCCUGAGAGGGCGACCGGCCACAUUGGGACUGAGACACGGCCCAAACUCCUACGGGAGGCAGCAGUGGGGAAUAUUGCACAAUGGGGGAAACCCUGAUGCAGCGACGCCGCGUGAGUGAAGAAGUAUUUCGGUAUGUAAAGCUCUAUCAGCAGGGAAGAAGAUGACGGUACCUGCACAAGAAGCCCCGGCUAACUACGUGCCAGCAGCCGCGGUAAUACGUAGGGGGCAAGCGUUAUCCGGAUUUACUGGGUGUAAAGGGAGCGUAGACGGAAGGUCAAGUCAGGUGUGAAAGGCAUGGGCUCAACCCAUGGACUGCACUUGAAACUGGUCAUCUCGAGUGUCGGAGGGGCAGGCGGAAUUCCUGGUGUAGCGGUGAAAUGCGUAGAUAUCAGGAAGAACACCGGUGGCGAAGGCGGCCUGCUGGACGACGACUGACGUUGAGGCUCGAAGGCGUGGGGAGCAAACAGGAUUAGAUACCCUGGUAGUCCACGCAGUAAACGAUGAAUACUAGGUGCUGGGUUCCAGAGGGAUUCGGUGCCGGCGCAAACGCAUUAAGUAUUCCACCUGGGGAGUACGUUCGCAAGAAUGAAACUCAAAGGAAUUGACGGGGA